GGUUUGGGUUGUUUAUGAUGCUUCAUCUAAGGAAUGUAAGUCAGGAACAUCACUUAAUGACUGCUUGCAUGUUGGGCCAUCCCUCAAUCCAUUACUAUAUAGCAUACUGAUACGGUUUAGAGAAAACAGGAUUGCUUUAGUAGGCGAUAUUGAAAAGGCUUUUUUGAAUGUGGAGGUUGAUGAGGCAGAUCGAGACUGUUUGAGGUUUUUGUGGGUAAAUGAUAUUGAGAGUGAUAAGUGGGAAACAGUUGUUUAUAGGUUUUGUAGAGUAGUAUUUGGAUUGAAUGCAUCUCCAUUCUUACUCAAUGCAACAUUAAGGCAUCAUGUCUUAAAGUAUCUUGAAACCGAUCCUGAGUUUGUGAAGAAGGUGCUAGAAAGUUUCUAUGUAGACGAUUUAGUUAGUGGGGAAAGUACGGUAGAUAAGGCAUUUCAGUUAUAUGAUAAGACUAUGAGUAGAAUGGCACAAGGGGGAUUCAAGCUAAGAAAGUGGUCAACU